UAAUAAUAAAAGCCCAAUAGAUUAUACUGAUAAAUGGGCCCAAUCUAUCCGGCCCAAGAUAGGAGAAAUAUUAUGACCCAACACCCUUUUUGACACGAACGAACUUCCCCGAGUGCGAGCAACGCACAUCCCUCGCAGCAAUCCGUGCCGUGGAUGCCUUAUCACCGGUCGGAGCUUUUAUGUGGUAUUCAGACGACUUGGAUAAAGUGGACAAAACCUCCGCAUUAUGUGUCGCUCUUAUAAACGUCUCCAUAUGCUCCUCGGUAAGAAACCCCUCACCCGUCGCCAUUUUCACUGAAAUCCUACCCAACAAUAGACUACACGAAAGAUCAAGAUUACAGUCAUACAGUGGAUUAAGGACAGUGAGAACAUUAAUGCAUAAAAUAGUUUUUAGUUAAUUUACCUCUCUACACUCGCGGCUAAGAAGGUGGAGAUACAGGAAAUAACAUAGUGUAGUUGAUUCGAGACCCAAACUUGUUCCACUGUGCUUGGCUCGGAUCUGGAGUCGAGACAGGAUACAAAAAAUAAGGUAGCAACCGAUUGGGAUCUUCAAAUCGUCGAUUACAACAUGAUAACAGAGUGUCCCUAGAUCGAGUAAAACACUUUCGCUGAUGACUGUAAUUUAUGUUUUGUAUAAAGUGAUGACAGAUAACGAAAGAAAACGGAGGAGAAACAAAGGUGGCGUGGCUGGGCCACGUCAUUGUUUAUCGGUGAUGUACACGUGGUUUUGGCGAUAAAGCGAGUUGUACCCCCUUUGGUAAUCUGGUAUUUGUCCUUAACACCGUGAUUAGGUUUAGGUUUUAAUGAAUUUACUGAAAUGCUUCUCUUUCGAGGAUAUUUCGGCCCAAUCCCUCACCUUAAUGUGAAAGAAGAUUUUGUAAAAUAAAAACAGUGACAAAAGAUUUGUUAUAGAAAGAUGGAUUUCGGUCCCCUCCAUUAUAUAUUUUCUCUAAUUUUAUCUAAUAUAUAAAUUAUUUAAUUUUAAUAAUUU
rnacentral:lncRNA from 1 species